GAGUUUGAUCCUGGCUCAGGACGAACGCUGGCGGCGUGCUUAACACAUGCAAGUCGAACGGUGAUGUCAGAGCUUGCUCUGGCGGAUCAGUGGCGAACGGGUGAGUAACACGUGAGUAACCUGCCCCCGACUCUGGGAUAACUGCUAGAAAUGGUAGCUAAUACCGGAUAUGACGAUUGGCCGCAUGGUCUGGUCGUGGAAAGAAUUUCGGUUGGGGAUGGACUCGCGGCCUAUCAGGUUGUUGGUGAGGUAAUGGCUCACCAAGCCUACGACGGGUAGCCGGCCUGAGAGGGUGACCGGCCACACUGGGACUGAGACACGGCCCAGACUCCUACGGGAGGCAGCAGUGGGGAAUAUUGCACAAUGGGCGAAAGCCUGAUGCAGCAACGCCGCGUGAGGGAUGACGGCCUUCGGGUUGUAAACCUC
rnacentral:rRNA from 1 species